CCUACGGGAGGCAGCAGUGGGGAAUAUUUCACAAUGGGGGAAACCCUGUUGCAGCGACGUCGCGUGAGUGAUGAAGUAUUUCGGUAUGUAAAGCUCUAUCAGCAGGGAAGAAAAUGACGGUACCUGACUAAGAAGCACCGGCUAACUACGUGCCAGCAGCCGCGGUAAUACGUAGGGGGCAAGCGUCAUCCGGAUUUACUGGGUGUAAAGGGAGCGUAGACGGCGGUGCAAGCCAGAUGUGAAAGCCCUGGGCUCAACCCCGGGACUGCAUUUGGAACUGUGCUGCUAGAGUGUCGGAGAGGCAGGCAGAAUUCCUAGUGUAGCGGUGAAAUGCGUAGAUAUUAGGAGGAAUACCAGUGGCGAAGGCGGCCUGCUGGACGAUGACUGACGUUGAGGCUCGAAAGCGUGGGGAGCAAACAGGAUUAGAUACCCGGGUAGUC
rnacentral:rRNA from 1 species